CUAAAGCCCCUCGCUUACACCGAGGUAAUAUCCGUUUAACUCGGAUCACUUUGAGCCUGAAAUCUAGCCCACAAAGUCUAAUGCAACCCCUAAUCUACUGCCCAUCAACAAAACAUUUUUAUACUUUAGUACAGGAGAUCAAAAAAUUUAUAGGCGCUUCAGAUAAAGUACCGCAAGGGAACGAUGAAAUAAAAAUGAAAUAGUUUUUAAGCCCAAUAUAGCAGAGACAAGCCCUCGUACCUUUUGCAUCAUGGUCUAGCUAGUCUAACCAAGCAAAAAGAAAAUUUAAGUUUAACAUCCCGAAACUAGACGAGCUACUUCAAAACAGCCUAUAGAGCCAACCCGUCUCUGUUGCAAAAGAGUGGGAAGAUUUUUAAGUAGCGGUGAUAAACCUAACGAGCCUAGAGAUAGCUGGUUGUUCAGGAAAAGAGUUUUAGCUCUACCUUAAGUUUUCCUGUUACAUACAUAACGUCUUUAAACUUAAGAGCUAUUCAAAUAAGGCACAGCUUAUUUGAAACAGGACACAACCUAAAGCAUAGGGUAAACUAGGAUAUACUAAACAAAGUUGGCCUAAAAGCAGCCAUCUCUAGAAAAGCGUUAAAGCUUAAUUACUUAUGUCCUCAAUUUCAUUAACCCACUCGAACCCCUCACUUGUACUGAACUAUUUUAUAUUUUUUAUAAAAACAAUCAUGCUAGAACUAGUAACAAGAAAUUGCUUUUCUCCAAAAUGUAAACGUAAGCCAAAACGGACCAUCCAUUGGCACCUACCGUAAAUGUCUACGCUAUAACAACCACCACCAAGAAAACCCUAUAGUUUUUAACGUUAACCUUACACCAGAACAUUCAAGGAAAGAUUAAAAGAGAAAGAAGGAACUCGGCAAAUUUUAGCCCCGCCUGUUUACCAAAAACAUCGCCUCUUGAAAUGUAUAAGAGGUCCAGCCUGCCCAGUGACAAAGUUCAACGGCCGCGGUACCCUAACCGUGCGAAGGUAGCAUAAUCACUUGUUCCUUAAAUAGGGACUAGUAUCAAAGGCACCACGAGGGCCAUACUGUCUCCUUUCUCUAAUCAGUGAAACUGAUCUCCCCGUGAAGAAGCGGGGAUAAACCUAUAAGACGAGAAGACCCCAUGGAGCUUCAAGCAAUGUGUUCACCCUGUCCACUUAUCAACUUAACAAAUACCCUGAACACUAGCUUUAGGUUGGGGGGACCGCGGAGUACAACUUAACCUCCACGACAAACGGGCCACGCCCUUAUCCACGAGUUACAACUCUAAGAAUCAAUAAACUGAUGUUUUAUGACCCGAUAAUUCGAUCAACGAACCAAGUUACCCUGGGGAUUACAGCGCAAUCUACUUCAAGAGCCCCUAUCGACAAGUAGGUUUACGACCUCGAUGUUGGAUCAGGGUAUCCCAGUGGUGCAGCCGCUAC
rnacentral:rRNA from 1 species